ensembl:piRNA 21ur-1110 ncRNA
UUUGUGUGUCCAUUUUACAGU